ACGCGUGGGAACGUACCUUUUGGUUCGGAACAACACAGGGAAACUUGUGCUAAUACCGGAUAAGCCCUUACGGGGAAAGAUUUAUCGCCGAAAGAUCGGCCCGCGUCUGAUUAGCUAGUUGGUGAGGUAAUGGCUCACCAAGGCGACGAUCAGUAGCUGGUCUGAGAGGAUGAUCAGCCACAUUGGGACUGAGACACGGCCCAAACUCCUACGGGAGGCAGCAGUGGGGAAUAUUGGACAAUGGGGGCAACCCUGAUCCAGCCAUGCCGCGUGAGUGAUGAAGGCCCUAGGGUUGUAAAGCUCUUUUGUGCGGGAAGAUAAUGACGGUACCGCAAGAAUAAGCCCCGGCUAACUUCGUGCCAGCAGCCGCGGUAAUACGAAGGGGGCUAGCGUUGCUCGGAAUCACUGGGCGUAAAGGGUGCGUAGGCGGGUCUUUAAGUCAGGGGUGAAAUCCUGGAGCUCAACUCCAGAACUGCCUUUGAUACUGAGGAUCUUGAGUUCGGGAGAGGUGAGUGGAACUGCGAGUGUAGAGGUGAAAUUCGUAGAUAUUCGCAAGAACACCAGUGGCGAAAGGCGGCUCACUGGCCCGAUACUGACGCUGAGGCACGAAAGCGUGGGGAGCAAACAGGAUUAGAUACCCUGNUAGUCCACGCCGUAAACGAUGAAUGCCAGCCGUUAGUGGGUUUACUCACUAGUGGCGCAGCUAACGCUUUAAGCAUUCCGCCUGGGGAGUACGGUCGCAAGAUUAAAACUCAAAGGAAUUGACGGGGGCCCGCACAAGCGGUGGAGCAUGUGGUUUAAUUCGACGCAACGCGCAGAACCUUACCAGCCCUUGACAUGUCCAGGACCGGUCGCAGAGAUGUGACCUUCUCUUCGGAGCCUGGAGCACAGGUGCUGCAUGGCUGUCGUCAGCUCGUGUCGUGAGAUGUUGGGUUAAGUCCCGCAACGAGCGCAACCCCCGUCCUUAGUUGCUACCAUUUAGUUGAGCACUCUAAGGAGACUGCCGGUGAUAAGCCGCGAGGAAGGUGGGGAUGACGUCAAGUCCUCAUGGCCCUUACGGGCUGGGCUACACACGUGCUACAAUGGCGGUGACAAUGGGAUGCUAAGGGGCGACCCUUCGCAAAUCUCAAAAAGCCGUCUCAGUUCGGAUUGGGCUCUGCAACUCGAGCCCAUGAAGUUGGAAUCGCUAGUAAUCGUGGAUCAGCACGCCACGGUGAAUACGUUCCCGGGCCUUGUACACACCGCCCGUCACACCAUGGGAGUUGGUUUUACCUGAAGACGGUGCGCUUANCCGCAAGNGAGGCAGCCGGCC
rnacentral:rRNA from 1 species